AACGAACGCUGGCGGCGCGCCUAAUACAUGCAAGUCGAGCGAGAAGGUGUAGCAAUACACUUGUAAAGCGGCGAACGGGUGAGGAAUACAUGGGUAACCUACCCUCGAGUGGGGAAUAACUAGCCGAAAGGUUAGCUAAUACCGCAUACGAUUCCAGGACUUCGGUCCUGGAAGGAAAGCACUACCGUGGGUAGUGCGCUCCUGGAUGGGCUCAUGUCCUAUCAGCUUGUUGGUGAGGUAAAGGCUCACCAAGGCUUCGACGGGUAGCUGGUCUGAGAGGACGAUCAGCCACACUGGCACUGCGACACGGGCCAGACUCCUACGGGAGGCAGCAGUAAGGAAUAUUGCGCAAUGGGCGAAAGCCUGACGCAGCGACGCCGCGUGGGGGAUGAAGGUCUUCGGAUUGUAAACCCCUUUCGGGAGGGAGAGGGAAUGGGUAACCCAUUCGGACGGUACCUCCAGAAGCAGCCACGGCUAACUUCGUGCCAGCCGCCGCCGU
rnacentral:rRNA from 1 species